rnacentral:rRNA from 1 species
CCUACGGGUGGCAGCAGUGGGGAAUAUUGGACAAUGGGGGCAACCCUGAUCCAGCCAUGCCGCGUGUGUGAAGAAGGCCCUCGGGUUGUAAAGCACUUUCAGUGAGGAAGAACGCCUGGUGGUUAAUACCCAUCAGGAAAGACAUCACUCACAGAAGAAGCACCGGCUAACUCCGUGCCAGCAGCCGCGGUAAUACGGAGGGUGCGAGCGUUAAUCGGAAUUACUGGGCGUAAAGCGCGCGUAGGUGGCUUGAUAAGCCGGUUGUGAAAGCCCCGGGCUCAACCUGGGAACGGCAUCCGGAACUGUCAAGCUAGAGUGCAGGAGAGGAAGGUAGAAUUCCCGGUGUAGCGGUGAAAUGCGUAGAGAUCGGGAGGAAUACCAGUGGCGAAGGCGGCCUUCUGGACUGAUACUGACACUGAGGUGCGAAAGCGUGGGUAGCAAACAGGAUUAGAUACCCUUGUAGUC